CUAUUUACAUAUUUUGCAUAAUGCACAUUUAACUAUUUAUGCAAAUUUCUUGGUGCAAGGUGCAAACCAUGCUAACUGAUAAUAAGAAUCUCAUAGUUAAUAUGUCAUAUAUUUGAGAUGCUCAUCAUUUUAUUGAAGUGCAGGUAUCAUUCUGAAUCAGGCUGGCAGGCUUUGAUAGAAAUAAUUCUUGAACAUUAUGGGCUUGAAGUUGACCAAGCUGCAAUAACUAUUUUUAUCUGCUCCUUUCCGGUAGCUGUUGAUGCUUGUGUGAAGCUUUGGAUGAAAUAUUCAGAAAUCAGAACUUGAUCUUGAAAGCACGCAGAAAUAACAGAAGUUCCUUCGUGUGAGAUGUUGCUGGAAGUAUGACAUAAGCAGUUAUUCAAAUUCCUUCCAAAGCUGUCUCCAAAUGUAACAAAUAUCUUACAGGAAAUGAAGCGGCACUAGUGAAGCUUUUCAUGGAACAUUUUUCCUCAUCUUGGGAAUUACUGGAUGGGGAUCAUGCUUCAAUUGUCGCACCUUGAAGCCGCAUUUGCCAAACACUGUACAUGCUGCACCGGAUUGAACCCUAAAGGCAGCGUCGCUCUGAAGUACUCAGUUCUGUAAAGUUAAUGAUUUUUUUUUUCCAGCCCUCUUAGCAAACCUUCUUUGGUCCUUAAAAUUCAUUUCAACAUUGUUAAUCUUUUUAACCCAGUGGUUCAAAAAACUUUUGCCCUCAUUGUUGCUAGUCAGAAGAAGAGCUUUUUGUCGACCGUAAACGAGAUGAGCAACCCACCAGAUUUGUGCCAUUUGGGUCCUACAUAAAGCCAAUAUCUUGGAAGUGAUAUGCGUGCGCCAUGAGCUUCACUGGUGUCAAUCUGCGACAGGGGAAACUCGCAAGAAUCAUGUCGAAGCGAGCACCAAACACUUGCACUCUCUCUCUUGCGUUGGUUCUUCGCUUUAGUAAUUAUCAUCAUUUAAUGUACUGCAUCCAACAGGCUACCUAUUUCAGGAAGUUAAAGAAGUCACACUUCUAAAAAGAAUAGAUCUCAUUACGCAGAAGAGCUGCAAAAUUUGGAAAAGGUUUGUGAAAGCGAUCUCAUGUGAGAUUUACGAGUACCACGUGAUGCAGGGUCUGGACUCUAGAGGACCCAUCUCUCUCGUUCUCUCUCUAGUCGCUUUCACAAGGCCCCAUAACGGAUUUCUUUCAGCCACCAUCACGCCAAAUCAUGAAGCAUGCAUGGGCGGCGAAAGGCAAGAUCGACCCUCUUUUUAAGCUUUUGCCGGCAACUGGAAUAUGGCGUCGUACAAGUUGUCAUUGAGGGAAGAAACGUAAAUGCUACAUGUGGUACGAGAUUUUUGUGUCGCAUUAGUAUUUCUCAUCUAUUCGUUGUACAUAAAGUAGGCUGGUACU